rnacentral:lncRNA from 1 species
AUACUUUGCGUCCGCCAACCGACCUUAGUCUCCAUCAAUCCGGGAACCGAAAGAUGCGGCGGAGGAUGGUGGUUGACUUGUUUUUUGAGAACUUGUUUCUGUCUCUCACUUGCGUCCACUUGCGAGGAAGGGUGUCGACUUUUAUAUUAGAACAAGGUAUUCGGUUUCAAACAAGUAUAUUAUAUGAUUAGGCUGAAACUAGGGUCUUUUUUCUGGGGCGGGGG